UGAGUUUGAUCAUGGCUCAGGACGAACGCUGGCGGCAUGCCUAACACAUGCAAGUCGAACGGAGAACGGAAGUUUCGAUGGAAGUUCUUAGUGGCGGACGGGUGAGUAACGCGUGGAUAACCUGCCUGAGAGUGGGGGAUAACAGCCCGAAAGGGCUGCUAAUACCGCAUAACGUUGUUUGGGGACAUCCCCGGACAACCAAAGGAGCAAUCCGCUCUUGGAUGGGUCCGCGUCCGAUUAGCUAGUUGGUAGGGUAAAGGCCUACCAAGGCGACGAUCGGUAGCCGGCCUGAGAGGGUGAACGGCCACACUGGGACUGAGACACGGCCCAGACUCCUACGGGAGGCAGCAGUGGGGAAUCUUCCGCAAUGGGCGAAAGCCUGACGGAGCAAUGCCGCGUGGGGGAUGAAGGUCUUCGGAUUGUAAACCCUUGUCUUCGGGGAAGAAAAUUGACGGACCGAGGAGGAAGCCGGCUAUA
rnacentral:rRNA from 1 species